rnacentral:rRNA from 1 species
AUUGAACGCUGGCGGCAGGCCUAACACAUGCAAGUCGAGCGGUAGCACAGAGAGCUUGCUCUCGGGUGACGAGCGGCGGACGGGUGAGUAAUGUCUGGGAAACUGCCUGAUGGAGGGGGAUAACUACUGGAAACGGUAGCUAAUACCGCAUAACGUCGCAAGACCAAAGUGGGGGACCUUCGGGCCUCAUGCCAUGAGAUGUGCCCAGAUGGGAUUAGCUAGUAGGUGGGGUAACGGCUCACCUAGGCGACGAUCCCUAGCUGGUCUGAGAGGAUGACCAGCCACACUGGAACUGAGACACGGUCCAGACUCCUACGGGAGGCAGCAGUGGGGAAUAUUGCACAAUGGGCGCAAGCCUGAUGCAGCCAUGCCGCGUGUAUGAAGAAGGCCUUCGGGUUGUAAAGUACUUUCAGCGGGGAGGAAGGCGAUAAGGUUAAUAACCUUGUCGAUUGACGUUACCCGCAGAAGAAGCACCGGCUAACUCCGUGCCAGCAGCCGCGGUAAUACGGAGGGUGCAAGCGUUAAUCGGAAUUACUGGGCGUAAAGCGCACGCAGGCGGUCUGUCAAGUCGGAUGUGAAAUCCCCGGGCUCAACCUGGGAACUGCAUUCAAAACUGGCAGGCUAGAGUCUUGUAGAGGGGGGUAGAAUUCCAGGU